rnacentral:lncRNA from 1 species
UUCUUCUCAGGGCCAGCUUAGGGAAAUUCCAAUAUUAUGUCUCCAUUUGAAGUUCCAAGGCAAACUAAUCGGUUUAGUGCAUUCUCAAAGCCCACAGAUCACAGUGCAUAGUGAGCUGCAGCUACUGUAUAGUAAGUGUAUAACCACGUCUUAUUGAUAAGCUGUCGACAUUCGUUCCAUGGAGAAUUAUGACCUUUAUAAUUUUCCAGCUUAGGCUUGUUUUCCGAUUGUUUGCAUUAAUUUCUUUGGGCGCUCCACAAUGGGGGAUUGGUCACGGUAGCGUUUCGCGUAACAAAAAUUCGAGUAAUC